rnacentral:rRNA from 1 species
UGUCGUGAGAUGUUGGGUUAAGUCCGCAACGAGCGCAACCCUACGUUUAGUUGCUAACGCGUGAAGGCGAGCACUCUAGACGAACUGCCGUUGACAAAACGGAGGAAGGUGGGGAUGACGUCAAAUCAUCAUGCCCCUUAUGUUCUGGGCUACACACGUGCUACAAUGGCCGGUACAGACGGACGCAAAGCCGCGAGGUGGAGCAAAUCCUAAAAAGCCGGUCUCAGUUCGGAUUGCAGGCUGCAAUUCGCCUGCAUGAAGUCGGAAUCGCUAGUAAUCGCAGGUCAGCAUACUGCGGUGAAUACGUUCCCGGGCCUU